rnacentral:tRNA from 1 species
AGAAAGGCUUGCCAGCGACAAAGACUGCUAACCCUUGUGCCCUCGGCUGGAUUCCGAAGCUAUCUCGCAUGC